rnacentral:rRNA from 1 species
GACGAACGCUGGCGGCGUGCUUAACACAUGCAAGUCGAACGGUAAGGCCCUUCGGGGUACACGAGUGGCGAACGGGUGAGUAACACGUGGGUGAUCUGCCCUGCACUUCGGGAUAAGCCUGGGAAACUGGGUCUAAUACCGGAUAGGACCACUGCCUGUAUGGGUGGGGGUGGAAAGCUUUUGCGGUGUGGGAUGGGCCCGCGGCCUAUCAGCUUGUUGGUGGGGUGAUGGCCUACCAAGGCGACGACGGGUAGCCGGCCUGAGAGGGUGACCGGCCACACUGGGACUGAGAUACGGCCCAGACGCCUACGGGAGGCAGCAGUGGGGAAUAUUGCACAAUGGGCGCAAGCCUGAUGCAGCGACGCCGCGUGAGGGAUGACGGCCUUCGGGUUGUAAACCUCUUUCAGCACCGACGAAGCGCAAGUGACGGUAGGUGCAGAAGAAGGACCGGCCAACUACGUGCCAGCCGCCGCCGUAA